GCAUCUAAGCACGAAACUUGCCCCGAGAUGAGUUCUCCCUGAGACUUUAAGUCUCCUGAAGGAACGUUGAAGACGACGACGUUGAUAGGCCGGGUGUGUAAGCGCAGCGAUGCGUUGAGCUAACCGGUACUAAUGAACCGUGAGGCUUAACCUU
rnacentral:rRNA from 1 species